GAGAUUUCCCAUGAUUUUAUAUCAGUAAGAGCCCUGAGAGAUGAUCAGGUAGAUAGGUUAGAAGUGGAAGUGUAGUGAUACAUGUAGCGGACUAAUACUAAUAGCUCGAGGACUUAUCCGAAA
rnacentral:rRNA from 3 species